GCCAGCAUGGUGUAGUGGUUUGACUGUUGGACUAUGGCUCUGGAGACCAGGGUUUGAGUCCAUGGCUUGGCC
rnacentral:tRNA from 1 species